AAGCCCGAUGAACCUGAAUAUCCAGUAUGAAGAAUUCAUCAUUAUACCUUUUAUAAUAUUGAAAUUUAUUUUAAUAUUAUUUGUGAUAGUGUGCAUUUUUUUCAUAUAAGGACAUUGUGAUCUAUUAACAUAAUAAAGAGAUUUAUCAGAAGAUCAUUAGCUUAAGUUUAUUUUGAUUGAUUUGCUUUUGGCUUAUUAACGUGAAAUAAAUGCUAACGAUUUGAUAAAGUGUUAAUAGAAUUAUUUUAUGUAAUGCUUAAAUAUUAUUGAUUUUACAAUAUGUUGCAAUCCUUUGAUU
rnacentral:rRNA from 1 species